CAGCAGCCGCGGUAAUACGAAGGGUGCAAGCGUUACUCGGAAUUACUGGGCGUAAAGCGUGCGUAGGUGGUUGUUUAAGUCUGCUGUGAAAGCCCUGGGCUCAACCUGGGAAUUGCAGUGGAUACUGGGCAACUAGAGUAAGGUAGAGGAUAGUGGAAUUUCCGGUGUAGCAGUGAAAUGCGUAGAGAUCGGAAGGAACAUCUGUGGCGAAGGCGACUAUCUGGGCCAUUACUGACACUGAGGCACGAAAGCGUGGGGAGCAAACAGGAUUAGAUACACCGGUAGUCCCUGUCUCUUAUAC
rnacentral:rRNA from 1 species